ensembl:miRNA
CUGAGUCCGGUGGGGCAGUGUGUACCAGUAGGUGACGCAGCCCCUCCGUCUGACUCAG